UCCCUGGCGGUCCAGUGGUUAGGACUCAGAGCUUUCACUGCCAUUGGGCCCAGGUUCAACCCCUGGUCAGGGAA
rnacentral:tRNA from 1 species